AAUAAAACCCGAAAAUCAGAAGCCCUAAGCUCUCCCGCAACCCUACUCGGACGCAGUUCCUCUCCCCGAUCUCUCCAUCCCUCCUUGUGCUCGGCGACUACACGCGGCGAUUGAUCGGCCUCGGCGGCGGCGGAGGAUUCCGGUGAGCGGCGGAGUGUUCCGGCGACCGGUUGCAGGUGCGACAUCAUAAAGAAAGAUGUCAGGGAGAGGCCGUGUACCUCGUCACAUUGCCGAUGGACGGCGACCUUAUCCUGACUUUCAGGAAGGUCCUUACUUUCGUGGUCCUCCCCCCAGACCUCACCCUGCUCUUCUAGAGGAAGAGUUUGAGUUACAGCAGAUUGAGAUCCGGAGACUUAUGGCCGACCACCAUGCUCUAGUUGAAGAUCGUUUAGCUUUGCAAAGGGAGAUUGCAGCUGGCAAAGAGGAGAUUCAUCGCCUGAACAUGAUUAUGGCAGACUUUCGUGCUGAGAAGGAAUCUCAUAUCCGAGAGUUGAUCGAGAAAGGCUUGAAGCUUGAAGCUGAUCUUAGAGCAACUGAACCUUUAAGGAAUGAGGUAGUACAUCUUCGUGCAGAAAUUGAGAAGCAGAUUGCUAUGAAACAAGAACUUAACGUGAAGAUUCAGACUCUCACUCAAGAAUUGACCAGGGCACAAGCUGAUAAUCAGCAAAUAUCUAUUUUGAGGGGUGAAAUUGAUGGGCUUCGUGAAGAGCUUAUGCGUGCUAGAACUGCUGUUGAGUAUGAGAAAAAAGGAAACUUUGAGCUGAUGGAUCAAAGGCAAGCAAUGGAGAAAAAUUUGGUUUCUAUGGCUCGUGAAAUUGAAAAGCUGCGGGCUGAGUUAGCAAAUUCUGAAGGGAGACCAUGGGCUGCAGGUGGACCAUAUGGGAUGAACUUUGGUAGCCCUGAAGGUGCCUUUCCUUCUUCAUAUGGGGCUAGUUACAGUCUUCACCAAGGUGUUGCUGAGAAAGCUCCUAUGUAUGGUCCGGGUCCUGGUCCAUGGGGAGCAUUUGACAAGUCUCACCUCGCACGUCGUUGAGGUUUCAGUUGCAUUUGUCCAUCGUGAUGCAAUUGGAUGGCUUUUAUGUUACUGACUGUCUUUCUAUAAGGUUAAGACUAUAUAGCUUCUUUACUGGCGCACGGCCUAUCAGAUUCGACUUGGUAGGAUGCUUUCAGUCAUCAUGAAUGAAGAGCAGCAUAUCAUUUGCAAACUUAUUAUCAGACUAAUACUGUUAAUGCAACAGUUGAAUUUAACCAAAGUUCCCAUAAAGUUCUGUGCUCAGAGGCGGCAGAAGAAAGCAAAAAAAAAGUUGGGGUGCCUGAUAAAAAUAGAUACCAUCUCAAAAGCAGCAGUCCUUUCAAUCCUCUAAUGGGGACUUAGGAUAUCGAGACUUGAAUAAUUGCAUCCUAAGAACAUGUACCUGAUAACAAGAAAUAUCGUCUCAAAAUCAGCAGUCCUUUCAAUUCUCUAAUGGGGACUUCGGAUAAUGAGGCUUCAGUGAUUGCAUCCUAUGGACCAUUACAUGUUUCUAGUCCAAACUGACUGAAGGUGAAGAGGGCAUGCAAUGAAUUCAUCGUUGGCCUUCGUCAGACGGACACGCUUAGCCCUCAUUUGCCGCUUCUGUAUCUUCAAGUCAAAUUAUAUGCAAUUUAAUAUGCGAGGCGAUGGAUUUCUCUAUCCUUGUUAUGGUAAGAGUCUGGCAUAAAAAGAUAAAAAAGCAGUGCCAACGAGGCAGUUGUUUACUGUAAGAAAGAAUUAUUUGAGAACAAAAUUUUGGAUAUGGAGAGGAGCAUACAUUUUGAUCUGAUGGAGAACUUGGUGGGGCACAUUGGCAUAGAGAUACUAUUUGAGAAUUUACUACGAUUUUUCUCUCUUUUGUUGGUGACAGAUUCUGCAACAAAAAUACACUAUCACAUGGAUCAUGUAACUGCUUAGUAUGGUGUAAGGAUGUGCUCCCCAAAGCACUUUGGCUUCUUGAAUUUAACUAGAAUUUUGAGCUUGAAAAUUUUCACUUGUUUGUUCUGUUUUGGAUUGGAAAAGAGAUUUUGUUGUGAUAGCUGGGUGAAACUUACACCUUUGGGAUUGGCUUACAUUCAGAUUUUGGUUCUUGCGGCUUAGUUGUUGCCUGUAGAAGCCCCUUCAGGGGAAUGCUAAAGAAAAGCAAAUAGCCUUGAUCAACUUCAUUUGCUCGGAGGAUGAUGAGACCUACGUUCUUAAGGGAUUGGAGUCUGCUACCUCUCUCUGGGUGUUGGACAUCGUGGUGCAUCAAGUUGUUGUUUUAUUGAGUAUGAUAACUAGGUUUGCUGUUCAUUUACGGCACUGAAAUAUGUUAGAAGGGGCCAUUUGCCGUGGCAUCGCUAAGCUGUUAUCGUGCAGUCUAAUCACCAUAGAUUUGGUUGGUGGUCUGAGUCCUGCAUAAGAACAAUUUUCUGGUGUUAAAUCCAUCUAAGAAGGAUUUGCAGAGCCAAGAGGGAAAGCUCAUUCUUCAACCUUGUUGUCUAGGGAGCCAUUAAUGGGUUGAGGCCAUUUCAACAGAUGUUGCUUGAUUGAUUUUGAGCUAGGAGUGUCAGUGGUGCUGUAUCAGCAAUAUUUCAACAAAAAGAGGAAAACAAUCUCACAAAGGAUCAAAGAAUGAAGCAUUUAGUGCUGGUGUUAUGUCAGAGGGAGAAGCCUUUGGAGGAGAACUUGGUAUGCAAUAAUGCAAUCGAAGCUUUUGAAAGAUGUUUAGUUUUACAUGAUUAGUUCCUGGUCAGCAAAAAGGCAUGCGUUAGUUGUAAAAAAGACUUUUGAAAAGUUUUGAGAGGGAAGAGGCUUACAACUCAUUCUGUAGGUUGAAAUUAGACGAAGGUAAUGUUACAUGUUCCUUGGAGGCCUAGAAUAUUCUUCAUU